ACUCAAAGGAAUUGACGGGGGCCCGCACAAGCGGUGGAGCAUGUGGUUUAAUUCGACGCAACGCGAAGAACCUUACCAGGGCUUGACAUCCCGCGAAUCCCGCCGAAAGGCGGGAGUGCCCGCAAGGGAGCGCGGAGACAGGUGGUGCAUGGCUGUCGUCAGCUCGUGUCGUGAGAUGUUGGGUUAAGUCCCGCAACGAGCGCAACCCUCACCCCUUGUUGCCAUCAGGUAAUGCUGGGCACUCUAGGGGAACUGCCCCGGUCAACGGGGAGGAAGGCGGGGAUGACGUCAAGUCAUCAUGCCCCUUACGCCCUGGGCUACACACGUGCUACAAUGGCCGGUACAAAGGGAUGCGAGACCGCGAGGUGGAGCCAAACCCAAAAAACCGGUCUAAGUUCAGAUUGGAGUCUGCAACUCGACUCCAUGAAGGAGGAAUCGCUAGUAAUCGCGUAUCAGAACGACGCGGUGAAUACGUUCCCGGGCCUUGUACACACCGCCCGU
rnacentral:rRNA from 1 species